rnacentral:rRNA from 1 species
CGCUGGCGGCAUGCCUAACACAUGCAAGUCGAACGAACCCUUCGGGGUUAGUGGCGCACGGGUGCGUAACACGUGGGAAUCUGCCCUUUGCUUCGGAAUAACAGUUAGAAAUGACUGCUAAUACCGGAUGAUGUCGUAAGACCAAAGAUUUAUCGGCAAAGGAUGAGCCCGCGUAGGAUUAGGUAGUUGGUGGGGUAAAGGCCUACCAAGCCGACGAUCCUUAGCUGGUCUGAGAGGAUGAUCAGCCACACUGGGACUGAGACACGGCCCAGACUCCUACGGGAGGCAGCAGUGGGGAAUAUUGGACAAUGGGCGAAAGCCUGAUCCAGCAAUGCCGCGUGAGUGAUGAAGGCCUUCGGGUUGUAAAGCUCUUUACCAGGGAUGAUAAUGACAGUACCUGGAGAAUAAGCUCCGGCUAACUCCGUG